AUGGAGCGCGUGAUGGCGACGACCCCUCAAACUGAGGGAGAAGAGGUGACCCCAGGGGUGAAGAGCCACAGUUAUACGGUGGAGGGGGCUCCUGUCCCUGGUGGGAAGGUGAGGAAGGGGAAGUCACUGAAGAAAGUGGAGCCGCGCAAAGCUCUGAGUCUGGAGGAGUCUCAGCUGGAGAGCCUGCAGCCCAGAAGUCCAAAGCUGCUCCCCAUCAGGUCUCAGACAUUUGACAUUGAUCGAUCAUCUGAAAGGACCGACAGUAUUGGCUCCAGAAGUAGUUUUAUUAAGCACAACAAAACAUUCCACAAGAUCUUCCAUGAUAUUCCUGAGACCGAAGACCUCAUCCAUGCAUACAUCUGUGCCCUGCAGAAGGAGGUGCCCUACCACGGCCGCCUCUAUGUCACUGAGAACCACGUCUGCUUCCACUCCUCUGUGCUGCUCAAGGCCACCAAGGUGCCAGCCAGCGCACACACAUAUAUACAUUCACAUGCACACACACACACACACACACACACACACACACACACACACACACAUAUAUUAGUGCUGUCAAACGAUUAA
ensembl:lncRNA